AUUGAACGCUGGCGGCAGGCCUAACACAUGCAAGUCGAGCGGGGUUUUCGGACCUAGCAGCGGACGGGUGAGUAAUGCGUAGGAAGCUGCCCGAUAGAGGGGGAUACCAGUUGGAAACGACUGUUAAUACCGCAUAAUGUCUACGGACCAAAGUGUGGGACCUUCGGGCCACAUGCUAUCGGAUGCGCCUACGUGGGAUUAGCUAGUUGGUGAGGUAAUGGCUCACCAAGGCGACGAUCUCUAGCUGGUUUGAGAGGAUGAUCAGCCACACUGGAACUGAGACACGGUCCAGACUCCUACGGGAGGCAGCAGUGGGGAAUAUUGGACAAUGGGCGCAAGCCUGAUCCAGCCAUGCCGCGUGUGUGAAGAAGGCCUUCGGGUUGUAAAGCACUUUCAGCGAGGAGGAAGGGUGGUGUGUUAAUAGCACAUCAUUUUGACGUUACUCGCAGAAGAAGCACCGGCUAACUCUGUGCCAGCCGCCGCCGUAA
rnacentral:rRNA from 1 species